rnacentral:rRNA from 1 species
UUCGCAAUGCCCGAAAGGGUGACGAAGCGACGCCGCGUGGGUGAGGAAGGCCCUCGGGUUGUAAAGCCCUGUCAGGAGUUAAGAAAUGUAGAUACGCUAAUAUCGUAUCUAUUUGACAAAGGCUCCAAAGGAAGCCACGGCUAACUCUGUGCCAGCAGCCGCGGUAAUACAGAGGUGGCAAGCGUUGUUCGGUAUUAUUGGGCGUAAAGAGCACGUAGGUGGGUUUGUAAGUCAGAUGUGAAAGCCUUCUGUUCAACGGAAGAAUUGCAUCUGAAACUGCGAGUCUUGAGUGUAGGAGGGGAGAAUGGAACUUCUGGUGGAGCGGUGAAAUGCGUAGAUAUCAGAAGGAACGCCGGCGGCGAAAGCGAUUCUCUGGCCUAUUACUGACACUCAGUGUGCGAAAGCUAGGGGAGCAAACGGGAUUAGAUACCCCGGUAGUCCUAACCGUAAACGAUGGGCACUAAGUAGAGGGGUUUU